AUUGAACGCUGGCGGAAUGCUUUACACAUGCAAGUCGAACGGGCUUGAGGGGCUUGCUCCUCAAGUUAGUGGCGAACGGGUGAGUAAUGCAUCGGAACGUACCUAGUCGUGGGGGAUAACGUAGCGAAAGUUACGCUAAUACCGCAUACGUCCUACGGGAGAAAGCAGGGGAUCGCAAGACCUUGCGCGAUUGGAGCGGCCGAUGUCUGAUUAGCUAGUUGGUGGGGUAAAGGCUCACCAAGGCGACGAUCAGUAGCGGGUCUGAGAGGAUGAUCCGCCACACUGGGACUGAGACACGGCCCAAACUCCUACGGGAGGCUG
rnacentral:rRNA from 1 species